rnacentral:rRNA from 1 species
AGAGUUUGAUCCUGGCUCAGGACGAACGCUGGCGGCGUGCUUAACACAUGCAAGUCGAACGGAAAGGCCCCUUCGGGGGUACUCGAGUGGCGAACGGGUGAGUAACACGUGGGUGAUCUGCCCUGCACUUUGGGAUAAGCCUGGGAAACUGGGUCUAAUACCGAAUAGGACCGCAUGCUUCAUGGUGUGUGGUGGAAAGCUUUUGCGGUGUGGGAUGGGCCCGCGGCCUAUCAGCUUGUUGGUGGGGUAAUGGCCUACCAAGGCGACGACGGGUAGCCGGCCUGAGAGGGUGUCCGGCCACACUGGGACUGAGAUACGGCCCAGACUCCUACGGGAGGCAGCAGUGGGGAAUAUUGCACAAUGGGCGCAAGCCUGAUGCAGCGACGCCGCGUGGGGGAUGACGGCCUUCGGGUUGUAAACCUCUUUCAGUAUCGGCGAAGCUCCAGGAUUUUUCUUGGGGUGACGGUAGGUACAGAAGAAGCACCGGCCAACUACGUGCCAGCAGCCGCGGUAAUACGUAGGGUGCGAGCGUUGUCCGGAAUUACUGGGCGUAAAGAGCUCGUAGGUGGUUUGUCACGUUGUCCGUGAAAACUCACAGCUUAACUGUGGGCGUGCGGGCGAUACGGGCAGACUGGAGUACUGUAGGGGAGACUGGAAUUCCUGGUGUAGCGGUGGAAUGCGCAGAUAUCAGGAGGAACACCGGUGGCGAAGGCGGGUCUCUGGGCAGUAACUGACGCUGAGGAGCGAAAGCGUGGGGAGCGAACAGGAUUAGAUACCCUGGUAGU